UGUUCUUAGGCUUAAAAAUUAUAAUUUACAUAGCGUCUCAUUGAAAUUUGAUCAAAUUAAUAUUUCUUUCUAAAAUAUUGUUCAAGUUGUGUAAUAAUUUCGUGAAAUCCGAUGAUAUUUGUGCUUUAUCGUCAAUGGUGAAGUUUUUGACGGUUACAUUUUGCAAAGUGUUUACACAAAAAUGGGAGCAAGAACGUGUUUGCUAGAAAUUUUGUGUCAUUUUGAUUACAAAAAUCCGGAAAUACUGCGUGUCAGUUUGAGAAAUUUGUGGCUAAAUUGAUUUUUCUAGAAAUUUUGUAUAUUUUUGGUGACCUUCAGUCGUGUGCUUCGUUUCUUUUUUUUUCUACAACAUUUCUAGCAAUUCUGGAACCGCUUUAUCUUGAGAUUCAGGAUAAAUGAUGAGAUUAAAAGAAAAUAGUCUGUUCAAAAUAAGAAAUUGAAAUUAACCGCAAUUCGGGUGUGAAUAUGGACUAAGUGUUUUUAUGUUUCGCUCUAAAAAAGAUUCAGGACUUCAAUGAGGUGAGGGCUGAAAUGUUUCCAUGGGACCUUUAUCCAGAUUCUGAAGGACAGGAAGGAAGCUAGAAAACACAACAAUG